rnacentral:misc_RNA from 1 species
GAUGAAGAACGUAGCGAAAUGCGAUACUUGGUGUGAAUUGCAGAAUUCAGUGAAUCAUCGAGUCUUUGAACGCACAUUGCGCCCCCUGGUAUUCCGGGGGGCAUGCCUGUCCGAGCGUCAUUGCUGCCCUCAAGCACGGCUUGUGUGUUGGGCCUCCGUCCUCCUCCCGGGGGACGGGCCCGAAAGGUAGCGGCGGCACCGCGUCCGGUCCUCGAGCGUAUGGGGCUUCGUCACCCGCUCUUGUAGGCCCGGCCGGCGCUUGCCGACACAUCAAUCUUUUUUCCAGGUUGACCUCGGAUCAGGUAGGGAUACCCGCUGAACUUAAGCAUAUCAAUAAGCGGAGGA